rnacentral:rRNA from 1 species
CCUACGGGCGGCAGCAGUAGGGAAUCUUCGGCAAUGGACGAAAGUCUGACCGAGCAACGCCGCGUGAGUGAAGAAGGUUUUCGGAUCGUAAAACUCUGUUGUUAGAGAAGAACAAGGAUGAGAGUAGAAUGUUCAUCCCUUGACGGUAUCUAACCAGAAAGCCACGGCUAACUACGUGCCAGCAGCCGCGGUAAUACGUAGGUGGCAAGCGUUGUCCGGAUUUAUUGGGCGUAAAGCGAGCGCAGGCGGUUUCUUAAGUCUGAUGUGAAAGCCCCCGGCUCAACCGGGGAGGGUCAUUGGAAACUGGGAAACUUGAGUGCAGAAGAGGAGAGUGGAAUACCAUGUGUAGCGGUGAAAUGCGUAGAUAUAUGGAGGAACACCAGUGGCGAAGGCGGCUCUCUGGUCUGUAACUGACGCUGAGGCUCGAAAGCGUGGGGAGCAAACAGGAUUAGAUACCCCAGUAGUC